CUCUGUUCCAAAUCGGGUAUAACAUCCUCUCCUUCCUCUUCCUUUUCACUAAGACAUGAAAAGGAGUUUGAAAGCUUUGAAGCGUCAACCUGACUCAUAUCUAACCGUUUACCUGGACUACGAAUCCCCUUAGUAGGUGUACACCUAGUGAUGUUAAAACGGGUCUUAUACCCACGGGUCUAAACAGGCCUAGUUUAUUUUUUAAAACCCGAAUCCACUUAAAAAACACAAAAUUAUAAACGGAUUUAAAAGGGUAUAACCAUUAAGACCCGAAUACUAAUGGGUUUGAGCAAAAUAUUAUCGGGUAGCCCGUUUAUUUCAUUUGUUUUCAGAAUUUUCCAGAAUCUUCAAAAAUUUUCAAAAUUCGUCGAGAGAAGCUAUCUCCGGCGAAUCUCCGAUUCAGAACAAGAGGGUCGUGUCUUCUUUCUCUAAUUCCAAUUUCAGGAGCUGAGGUUGCGGUUCUCUGCAUAACCAAAUCUGGUGAAGUAGUUAUUAGGCUCUGAUCUUGUUGUGUCCCCAAUUGGAGCAGUCAAUUCACCGUGGGGGUAACCAUGGGUAGACAAACUCCACAACAGUAUCGCCUCCCUUCCCAGAUUUAAAAGAGAUAUGUUUAGGCAAGUUCUUUGUUAAAUCCAGGAAGAAACUCACCCAACAGAGACAAAGAAACCUCCAAACCUCAAGAACACUCACAUAGACUUUUGUUCUCUUCUUUCUCUCUAGAAAAACUGAUGAAAGCGGCUAAAGAGAAGAAGGAAGUCGUGUUUUUCCUAUUAUACUCGAGCCUUAGGGUUUCCUUAACCCAACCACGCAAACCAGAGAAUUAAAAUCGAACUAAUUUGAACCAUCUGCAUAAGGUGUCGAUCAACACCAGCACCUGUGUCGAUCGACACUCUUACCAAAUUUCCACAAUUCCGUUCACGGGUGUUACAUAAAUUAUACAGAAUUAUUCUUCAAAACUUUUAACACACCACUAAGUUAUAUUUCUGAAACCCAUAUACACACUUAAUUUCCUAUAACAUGAAUAUUCAAUGAAAAUAAUCAAAUCAUGGCAAAGAGCAUUCAUUUGGUCCCAACAUAAUAUUCAAAAAAAAAAUGAUGCAUGAAGCUUACCAUAAGUCACAAAGAUCUUUUUUUUUUUUUUGUACCUCACAAGU